GGUCGCGUAGCUCAGUUGGUUUAGAGCACCACGUUGACAUCGUGGGGGUCAGCGGUUCAAGUCCGUUCGCGACCACCA
rnacentral:tRNA from 1 species